rnacentral:rRNA from 1 species
GACGGAGGGUGCUAGCGUUGUUCGGAAUUACUGGGCGUAAAGGGCGCGUAGGCGGCUGCUCAAGUCGGGUGUGAAAGCCCGGGGCUCAACCCCGGAACGGCACCCGAGACUGGGCGGCUCGAGACCGGGAGAGGUGGGUGGAAGUACCCAGUGUAGAGGUGAAAUUCGUAGAUAUUGGGUGGAACACCGGUGGCGAAAGCGGCUCACUGGCCCGGUUCGUGACGCUGAGACGCGAAAGCGUGGGGAGCAAACAGG